rnacentral:tRNA from 1 species
AGCAGCGUAGCUCAGUGGAAAGAGCCCGGGCUUGGGAGUCAGAGGUCAUGGGUUCGAAUCCCGGCUCUGCCA